CAGCCGCCGCGGGAAUACGAAGGGUGCAAGCGUUAAUCGGAAUUACUGGGCGUAAAGCGUGCGUAGGCGGUUUGUUAAGUCUGUUGUGAAAUCCCCGGGCUCAACCUGGGAAUGGCAAUGGAUACUGGCAAGCUAGAGUGUGUCAGAGGAUGGUGGAAUUCCCGGUGUAGCGGUGAAAUGCGUAGAGAUCGGGAGGAACAUCAGUGGCGAAGGCGGCCAUCUGGGACAACACUGACGCUGAGGCACGAAAGCAUGGGGAGCAAACAGGAUUAGAGACCCGCGUAGUCCCUGUCUCUUAUAC
rnacentral:rRNA from 1 species